rnacentral:rRNA from 1 species
CCGGCGCACGGGUGAGUAACACGUAUCCAACCUGCCGUCUACUCUUGGACAGCCUUCUGAAAGGAAGAUUAAUACAAGAUGGCAUCGUGAGUUCACAUGUUCACAUGAUUAAAGGUAUUCCGGUAGACGAUGGGGAUGCGUUCCAUUAGAUAGUAGGCGGGGUAACGGCCCACCUAGUCUUCGAUGGAUAGGGGUUCUGAGAGGAAGGUCCCCCACAUUGGAACUGAGACACGGUCCAA